rnacentral:rRNA from 1 species
AAGACCUUGCACUUUUGGAGCGGCCGAUGUCUGAUUAGCUAGUUGGUGGGGUAAUGGCCUACCAAAGCUUCGAUCAGUAGCUGGUCUGAGAGGACGGCCAGCCACACUGGGACUGAGACACGGCCCAGACUCCUACGGGAGGCAGCAGUGGGGAAUUUUGGACAAUGGGCGCAAGCCUGAUCCAGCCAUGCCGCGUGAGUGAAGAAGGCCUUCGGGUUGUAAAGCUCUUUCAGCCGGGAAGAAAAGGUUGCGAUUAAUAAUCGCAAUUUAUGACGGUACCGGAAGAAGAAGCACCGGCUAACUACGUGCCAGCAGCCGCGGUAAUACAUAGGGUGCGAGCGUUAAUCGGAAUUACUGGGCGUAAAGGGUGCGCAGGCGGUUUUGUAAGUCAGAUGUGAAAUCCCCGGGCUUAACCUGGGAACU